rnacentral:rRNA from 1 species
CUUGCUGACGAGUGGCGGACGGGUGAGUAAUGCUUGGGAAUCUGGCUUAUGGAGGGGGAUAACGACGGGAAACUGUCGCUAAUACCGCGUAGAGUCGAGAGACGAAAGUGCGGGACCGCAAGGCCGCAUGCCAUAGGAUGAGCCCAAGUGGGAUUAGGUAGUUGGUGGGGUAAAGGCCUACCAAGCCGACGAUCUCUAGCUGGUCUGAGAGGAUGACCAGCCACACCGGGACUGAGACACGGCCCGGACUCCUACGGGAGGCAGCAGUGGGGAAUAUUGCGCAAUGGGGGCAACCCUGACGCAGCCAUGCCGCGUGAAUGAAGAAGGCCUUCGGGUUGUAAAGUUCUUUCCGUGACGAGGAAGGCGUGAUGUUUAAUAGGCAUCACGAUUGACGUUAAUCACAGAAGAAGCACCGGCUAACUCCGUGCCAGCAGCCGCGGGUAAUACCGGAAGGGUGCGAGCGUU